GAUGAACGCUGGCGGCGUGCCUAAUACAUGCAAGUCGAGCGAACAGACGAGGAGCUUGCUCCUCUGACGUUAGCGGCGGACGGGUGAGUAACACGUGGAUAACCUACCUAUAAGACUGGUAUAACUUCGGGAAACCGGAGCUAAUACCGGAUAAUAUAUUGAACCGCAUGGUUCAAUAGUGAAAUACGGGUUUGCUGUCACUUAUAGAUGGAUCCGCGCCGCAUUAGCUAGUUGGUAAGGUAACGGCUUACCAAGGCAACGAUGCGUAGACGACCUGAGAGGGUGAUAGGCCACACUGGAACUGAAACACGGUCAAGACUCCUACGGGAGGCAGCAGUAGGGAAUCUUCCGCAAUGGGCGAAAGCAUGACGGAGCAACGGCGAGUGAGUGAUGAAGGUCUUCGGAUCGUAAAACUCUGUUAUUAGGGAAGAACAAAUGUGUAAGUAAAUAUGCACGUAUUGACGGUACCUAAUAAGAAAGCAACGGCUAACUACGUG
rnacentral:rRNA from 1 species